rnacentral:rRNA from 1 species
AGAGUUUGAUCCUGGCUCAGAUUGAACGCUGGCGGCAGGCCUAACACAUGCAAGUCGAACGGUAGCACAGAGAGCUUGCUCUCGGGUGACGAGUGGCGGACGGGUGAGUAAUGUCUGGGAAACUGCCUGAUGGAGGGGGAUAACUACUGGAAACGGUAGCUAAUACCGCAUAACGUCGCAAGACCAAAGAGGGGGACCUUCGGGCCUCUUGCCAUCAGAUGUGCCCAGAUGGGAUUAGCUAGUAGGUGGGGUAACGGCUCACCUAGGCGACGAUCCCUAGCUGGUCUGAGAGGAUGACCAGCCACACUGGAACUGAGACACGGUCCAGACUCCUACGGGAGGCAGCAGUGGGGAAUAUUGCACAAUGGGCGCAAGCCUGAUGCAGCCAUGCCGCGUGUAUGAAGAAGGCCUUCGGGUUGUAAAGUACUUUCAGCGGGGAGGAAGGUGUUGUGGUUAAUAACCACAGCAAUUGACGUUACCCGCAGAAGAAGCACCGGCUAACUCCGUGCCAGCAGCCGCGGUAAUACGGAGGGUGCAAGCGUUAAUCGGAAUUACUGGGCGUAAAGCGCACGCAGGCGGUCUGUCAAGUCGGAUGUGAAAUCCCCGGGCUCAACCUGGGAACUGCAUUCGAAACUGGCAGGCUGGAGUCUUGUAAAGGGGGGUAGAAUUCCAGGUGUAGCGGUGAAAUGCG